GAUGAACGCUGGCGGCGUGCCUAAUACAUGCAAGUCGAGCGAACAGGCGAGGAGCUUGCUCCUCUGACGUUAGCGGCGGACGGGUGAGUAACACGUGGAUAACCUACCUAUAAGACUGGGAUAACUUCGGGAAACCGGAGCUAAUACCGGAUAAUAUAUUGAACCGCAUGGUUCAAUAGUGAAAGACGGUUUUGCUGUCACUUAUAGAUGGAUCCGCGCCGCAUUAGCUAGUUGGUAAGGUAACGGCUUACCAAGGCAACGAUGCGUAGCCGACCUGAGAGGGUGAUCGGCCACACUGGAACUGAGACACGGUCCAGACUCCUGCGGGAGGCAGCAGUAGGGAAUCUUCCGCAAUGGGCGAAAGCUUGACGGAGCAACGCCGCGUGAGUGAUGAAGGUCUUCGGAUCGUAAAACUCUGUUAUUAGGGAAGAACAAAUGUGUAAGUAACUAUGCACGUCUUGACGGUACCUAAUCAGAAAGCCACGGCUAACUACGUG
rnacentral:rRNA from 1 species